GAUGAACGCUGGCGGCGCGCCUAACACAUGCAAGUCGAACGAUUAAAGCACCUUCGGGUGUGUAUAAAGUGGCGAACGGCUGAGUAACACGUGGGCAACCUGCCCCUUUCAUUGGGAUAGCCACGGGAAACCGUGGAUAAUACCGAAUACUUCGAGACUUCCGCAUGGAAGACUCGAGAAAGCUCCGGCGGAGAGGGAUGGGCCCGCGGCCUGUUAGCUUGUUGGUGGGGUAACGGCCUACCAAGGCAAUGAUGGGUAGCUGGGUUGAGGGACCGACCAGCCAGAUUGGGACUGAGACACGGCCCAGACUCCUACGGGGGGCAGCAGUGGGGAAUCUUGCACAAUGGGCGAAAGCCUGAUGCAGCGACGCCGCGUGCGGGAUGAAGGCCUUCGGGUUGUAAACCGCUUUCAGCAGGGACGAGGCGAAAGUGACGGUACCUGCAGAAGAAGCCCCGGCUAACUACGUG
rnacentral:rRNA from 1 species